CCUACGGGAUGCAGCAGUGGGGAAUAUUGCACAAUGGGCGCAAGCCUGAUGCAGCCAUGCCGCGUGUAUGAAGAAGGCCUUCGGGUUGUAAAGUACUUUGAGCGGGGAGGAAGGCGAUAAGGUUAAUAACCUUGUCGAUAGACGUUACCCGCAGAAGAAGCACCGGCUAACUCCGUGCCAGCAGCCGCGGUAAUACGGAGGGUGCAAGCGUUAAUCGGAAUUACUGGGCGUAAAGCGCACGCAGGCGGUCUGUCAAGUCGGAUGUGAAAUCCCCGGGCUCAACCUGGGAACUUCAUUCGAAACUGGCAGGCUGGAGUCUUGUAGAGGGGGGUAGAAUUCCAGGUGUAGCGGUGAAAUGCGUAGAGAUCUGGAGGAAUACCGGUGGCGAAGGCGGCCCCCUGGACAAAAACUGAUGCUCAGGUGCGAAAGCGUGGGGAGCAAACAGGAUUAGAUACCCCAGUAGUA
rnacentral:rRNA from 1 species